rnacentral:lncRNA from 1 species
GGAUCCCAGCACCUCCAUGACUGCAGCUGCAAAGCAAGGUCAGCAGCAGCACUGCUGGGCACCAUGCAGCAGCUCGGCCUUGCUAUGAAGCUUCUUCCCAGCAGUACCAUCCCAGGACACAGCACUAGCAAAAACCAGGUGAGGCUUUUCCACCUGCUUGUACCCAGCAGAGAUGGAAGGUCCUGCAGGGAGAGUACAGAUGGCAGGGAGUAGGUGAUUCCUGCAGCUUUUUCUCAGAAUGGGGAGUCUUUGUGGGAAGCCAGCCACCACUGUUGUCAGGGCUGACUUUCCCCAUUCUGGCUUGCCAGAAAGGAGAUUUACUAGGUCUGGGUUGCAGUGUUAGCAGAAUAGGCUGUUUCCCCAGAGGCUGCCUGUGAGUCCCCAUCAGCUGUGGAUGGACGUGUCGAGUCAGUCUUAUACUGUGAGCCCCUGGGAAGGUAGCACCUCUCUUGUCCCUGAGGCACUUGGCAGCAGCACAGGGAUGCUCCUGGCUGCCUUAUAGCCCUGGGCUGCAGGGAGAAGCAGGCAAGCUGCCUUCUGAGAAGCGAGCGAUGCUGAGGAGGUAUGUUUUGUGCUUUUCCCCAUCCCGUCCCAUCCUAGUCAACUCAGGGCUCUCGGAGGACCAGCCAGGAGCCCUUUCUCUGAGGCCUGCAUUUGAGCUGUGAACACAGCCCUGCAGGACAGGUCGGGUCGUGCAAGGAAGCAGAGGGACAGCGGGGCACUGGAGGUCUGUGUGGCUCCCUGCAAGCGGUGACGUGCCCAGCUGGAUCUCUGCGCCACGGGCAGAGCUCAGGAGGGGAUCGCAGCCUGCUCCUGUCCCACCUCAUCCCAGCCAGGCUUAGGCCAUCAGGUCUCCUGCUCACCCAAAGGAAGACAUCAUUAGACCCCAUCCUGCAAGUCAGUGGUGGGUGGGCGCACAGGUCUGUGCAGAGAAGCAGCUGGUGGCCCAUGUGGACGGAAGAGAUAUACUUAGGAGCUGGAAGCUGCCUUUCUCCUUGCCUUCUUUCUGGUAUAUCUGCUGGCCUUCUGUCUGCCUGCGGUCACUGGUGGCUGCAACGCUGUUCAGCGCUAAUGGAUUUCAACCCUCUUGUCUCCACUGAGACAUCUCUAUUGAGAGAUGUUGGUUCCAGUGCUGAGGAGCGGCUGCGCAGACAGGACCAGAGCUGUGAAUUAGAGAACAUUUAA